CAAUAGCGUAUAUUAAAGUUGUUGCGGUUAAAAAGCUCGUAGUUGGAUUUCUGCUGAGGACGAUCGGUCCGCCCACUGGGUGAGUAUCUGGCUCGGCCUUGGCAUCUUCUUGGAGAACGUUGCUGCACUUGACUGUGUGGUGCGGUAUCCAGGACUUUUACUUUGAGGAAAUUAGAGUGUUUCAAGCAGGCGCACGCCUUGAAUACAUUAGCAUGGAAUAAUAAGAUAGGACCUUAGUUCUAUUUUGUUGGUUUCUAGAGCUGAGGUAAUGAUUAAUAGGGAUAGUUGGGGGCAUUCGUAUUUAACUGUCAGAGGUGAAAUUCCUGGAUUUGUUAAAGACGGACUACUGCGAAAGCAUUUGCCAAGGAUGUUUUCAUUGA
rnacentral:rRNA from 1 species